rnacentral:tRNA from 1 species
GGAUUGUGGCUCAGUGGCAGAGUGCUUGCCUAGCAUGUGUGAGGCACUGGGUUUGAUUCUCAGCACCA